UGUGACCCUCCCCUCUGCCCCCCGAACUGGGCCAGGUCCAUGAGACCCCCCACCCUUCCCCAAACCGGGCCAGGUCCCUGUGACCUCCACCCUGAACUGGGCCAGGUCUGUGUGCCCCCCCCACCUCCCAGCUCAACCGGGCCAGGUCUGU